GCAGCCUCUUCGUUCCACCAAGUCCGAACAACAAGUUUAUUCUCCUAUUGUUGAUACUGUGGUUUGCAUGGUUGAAGAUUUGAUGUUCUUCAUAACAUUGUUGUUGCAGAAUACUUUCACUGGAAUAUGCUACAUGAUUCAAUAACUCCUAUUUUUCCACUGGACUAUUAAUCUCUUUUUGAUUUUGUGGAUAACUUUGCUGCAAACUAUGCUCUGAAGAGAGUUUAUUAUGUCAACUAUGCAUUGGGGAUAUCUGGACGCAGGAAACCUUGCUGGCAUCUAUUAUGAACAAAGUCAACUUGACAUGGCAAUUCUGCAUUACAAGCAAGCUAUCAACUGUGAGUCUACCUUUAUUGAAGCUUACAAUAAUCUGGGGAAUGCUCUCAAAGACGCUGGACAUGU